AGAUAGAAACUGACCUGGCUCACGCCGGUCU
rnacentral:rRNA from 1 species